rnacentral:misc_RNA from 1 species
AUUUAGAAGUAAUUGCAGCAAAAGCUUGUGAAGAUAGAAUUGUAGGAGAGGGAGAAUAUAGGAGAAAAAGAAAUUAAGGGAAAAAAAAGGAGCAGUAAAGAAUUUCAAGAACAGGGUUUUGUUGGAAAUAGAAAUGGAGCAAAGAAACAGAAGGAAAAGAAAGUGAAGACAUUUCAGUGAAGAAACUUGUUCUUUACAUUGAUGCGAUUCAGAUGAACCCCUUUGCAGCUCAAGUCCUAAAAAAUGAGCUCUGAUACAACUUUAUUAUGCAACAGGCUUGUAACGCCUUUCAAAACAGAGAAAUAGGGAAAGAGAGAUAGAAUGGACUUUGUUGUUGAUAAAAAAAGUAGAAAGGGAAGACGAUUUAGAGAGAAUUAGGGAAUAAUAGAGCAAGAAGAAUUCUGCAUUUGUUCCCAAUUAUGACCAUUCUUUCCCUAUUUAUGCUAACCCCUACUACUUAGUAACAAAAUAAUAGAAUAUUGCCUUGCCCAUUGCAUUCAGUCUACUAGUGUACCUAAGUCAACUCGCCAGCCCAGUCAACUCAUCUUGCUCAUCCCAUCCCUUAGUCAUAA